rnacentral:lncRNA from 1 species
GUCCUACUUGUGCCUAAAAGAUUUCAGUGAACAAAUGAUGUGGGAGGCAUAUUCUAUAUUUUUUCUGGAACAUGAGACAGCAGUUUAUUUCUGUUUCAUUACCAAAAGUGAAACUAAUGUGAUAGUGAAAGUGAAAGAGAAUGUUCUGAUACAGUAAAGACUGUGACUCUCGUCUGAAAGAAACACUAUAAAGCAGGGUGUCAAACAGCCUCUGUAGAAUGGGGAACUGCAUGUCAAAUGGCUGCAAAUGUCCAUCUACUGGAGAUGAAACUUACCAGGAAACCACUAGAAACAAAAAAUCAUUUUGUGAGGACUGCUGCUCAUGUUGCUGUCCAGUUGUUUUGCCUUCCAGAGGACAGCACCAGAUCCUUCCUGAAGAAAAUGCUUCAGCUGAUAACACGGAGGUGGGAAACAGAGCUGUUCAUAAUGCAAAACCAGAAACAGAGUCUGCAAUUACAGAUCAACGUAGAAGAAGCCCAAGGAAUUCAGCAGAGAGGAAACAAGGCCUCAUCUCAAAAAAAAAAGUCUCAAAAGUUAAUCUUUGAAUUUCAGUAUUACUGACCUCUGCUCACUGUCAUCUGAGUGUUU